rfam:Ictidomys tridecemlineatus contig092785, whole genome shotgun sequence.
GGGGAUGUAGCUCAGCUGGUAGAGAGCUUGCCUCAGAGGCACAAGGCUCUGGGUUCAAUCCCCAGCACCA